GAUCCUGGCUCAGAUUGAACGCUGGCGGCAGGCUUAACACAUGCAAGUCGAGCGUGAAAGGGCUUCGGCCUGAGUAAAGCGGCGGACGGGUGAGUAACGCGUAGGAAUCUACCUGGUAGUGGGGGAUAACGUUCCGAAAGGAACGCUAAUACCGCAUACGUUCUGAGGAAGAAAGCAGGGGACCGCAAGGCCUUGUGCUAUCAGAUGAGCCUGCGUCCGAUUAGCUAGUUGGUGGGGUAAAGGCCUACCAAGGCGACGAUCGGUAACUGGUCUGAGAGGAUGAUCAGUCACACUGGAACUGAGACACGGUCCAGACUCCUACGGGAGGCAGCAGUGGGGAAUAUUGGACAAUGGGGGCAACCCUGAUCCAGCCAUGCCGCGUGUGUGAAGAAGGCCUUCGGGUUGUAAAGCACUUUAAGCUGGGAGGAAGGCUCCAUGGCUAAUAUCCAUGGGGAUUGACGUUACCAGCAGAAUAAGCACCGGCAAACUUCGUG
rnacentral:rRNA from 1 species